ACUUGAAUAUUAGUAGUUAUGGUCUUUAAAUUCAAAGAAUUUGGCGGUAUUUUAGUCUUGUUAGAGGAACCUGUUCUGUAAAUGAUACAACACGAAGAAUCUUACUUACUCUUGUUUAACAGUUUGUAUACCGUCAUUAUUAGAUAACCUUUGUUGGGGAAGUUAUUGAAAUUUAAGAAGUUAAAGUAUAUUAGAUCAAGGUGCAGUUUAUGGGUAAGAAGAAAUGGGUUACAAUAAAAUUUAUUUAUACGGAUCAGCGAUUGAAUAGUUUCUGUGAAGGAGGAUUUAAUUGUAACAUAUAAUUUAAUAAGUUAGUGUGAUAUGAGAACUAAAAUAUGUACACAU
rnacentral:rRNA from 1 species